CUAUCCUGCGGAUAUCCUGAAAUAAAACCAUCAGGACAAAAAACGUGCUUUUUAAUUUUGGCCAUGUGAUUAGACCAACGGCUGAGAUUAAAAUUUGGUAGCCGAAGACGGACAGAGAAGCAAGAGCAAGAGGGAGGUGGGAGGUAGCUUAGGCAUGAGUCGUGGCGGGGUUACCAGAUGGAUUUGUUUCUAAAUUCUAACAUUCUUUCCUUUACUUCACCUCGUGAUGCGUGUAGCUCGGCGGUCUCCACCAAGUUCCGGUCAGCAGCAGAGUCAGACACUGCCAUGGCAAAUGGGAGGAUAUCAUUUCAAGGUCUGUUUCUCCACUUCAGUUUUCUUCAAACAAACCUCUCUACUGUCAUAUUUUUCCAAUCCCCUUCUAUUGCUCGAUCAAGGUAAUAAGGUACUCUUUUCUUUUCCCUUCUAAAAAUCCCCUUUUCUUAUUAUUAUUAUUUCUCUUUUUAUUAUAGAUUUUAGAUUCUAAGAGAACCAAUAUAUAUAUAUUUUUUAUUUGUUUAUUUGUGGCGUUUUGUUUAUCUGGGGUUAUGUAGGGAACACUUGUUCAACAAAAAGGACAGGCUAUUUAGGAAAGGAAAAGAAAAAUAAAAAAUAAAAAAUUGGAAGUUGGGUUUUACAAGGAACUGGAAAAAAGUAAAAGAUUGAUGGAAUAAUCCUUAUAAAACUUUUAAAUAAAAAUUGGUUUUCCCCAAGAAGUGCAAAUUUCUUUGUUGGAUGGAGGAAAAAAAAAAAAAAAAAGGAAAAAACUAUUUAUUUAUUUUUAUUAUUAUUUUUUGUUCAGAAUGAAAACAACUAAUUUGAUUAUUUCACUUUGCUAGCUCUAUUAUGACUUUACCAACCAAUCACCAUGUGCCAGGUUUAUCUUAUACCCACCAAUCCCCAGUUCAAGUUGACCGCCCUUGGUUUAUAAUUUAAUUUACCUCUACAUUUUUGCAGAAAGAAAUUCAAGUUAGAAAAUACCAAUUAACAUUUGGUGAUGGACCCUUUAUGAACUCCCCUGUGUCUGAUUCAGAAACUGGUCCUUUUAAAUUUUAUGAAAGAAUGUCAUCUGUAGAAACUUUGGCAUAUAAUUGAAGCUGAAAUGUUAAGUGUUUUAUUUGAUAUGAUGAAUUAUACUUCACCUUUUUUUAUGCAGAGUUUUGCAUUGGAUAAAGUUAGUAGCAAAAUAUGCUAUAUGAUGGUGGUAACCCUUUCUUCUAUAGCUAUCUGUAGAUCUCAUAUUGCUAAUAAAAUGAACAGAGAUAGAGUAUAAGAAAGAUCACAUACAUAUACAACUAGCAUGUGCACUCAUUUGAAAGCUAUGCUUUAUUAUGUUGUACUAUCUUCUUAGUUAUAAAUUCGAUAGAUAUAUUAUAUAUUUCUUCCUUGUUUUUCAAUUUUCUUAAUUAUCUGGCUAAAACUUCAGCAUUCUAAGUAACAACACUUCUGCUAGUUUUUUCGGAUCAUGCCAGCACAAGAUUUUAUAUGUACUUAUUGAGUCACAGCUUGAUGUCGAAAGGACAGAGACUUCCUCAGCAACAAACAUAUGGAGCUUAAUCAUACCCUUGUGUUUAAGCUUGAAGAGGGCAGAUCUGGGUUUAUGACAAAAACCCUGCAUCCAUGUUGAGUUUGUGUACAUAUCGAUUUCGAAGUCCUCACAUGAAGUCAACCGCAGUGGGUGUAUGCACAGCAUGUUUACCUUUGACAUUUUUGACAGGCCAUGUGAAGAUAGAAGAGAUGGGUGGAGAGAAAUUGAGAGAUGGGUUAGUUUCCUUUCCUUCAUAAAAAUGGAGAGGAUGUCACAGUCACAGUGUGCUGCAUUAAUGAAUUUACUACGACCGUGGACUCAAUUGUAAAAAUUUGUAGAAAAACCAUGUAAAAAAUGGGUGUACCAGAAUCCAUUCGAUUUUAUCUCUAUUUCAUAAUUAUCCAUAGGUUAGCCUAUUAAAUACAUUCUAAUUACUUCUCUAUUAGAUUAUUGCAUGCAGAUCUAUGAUAUGGAAAUGCAAAUAAUCCACGUCAUUGGUACAGUUGUUGAA